UCUAGGUGGCAGAGUUUCUCGGAUUUGCGCUUCCGUCGAUGCCACACUGGGUAAUUGGGGGUGAGCGGUGAGCCCUCUGGCUCCUUGGACAAGUGAAGUGUGCUGAGAAUUGGAGGGAAAGGUGAUCGGUGCCAGGGUUUUCGUUCUUUGACUCUUCGUGCCUUGUCAGGAUAAAACAGAAAGACCAUUUUCCUCGGAAAAUUACCGGACCCCGGUGCUGAACAGCUGCGGCCGCUCGCACGGUCGCAGGCUUCACUGGCAAGAGCGGACUGAUUCUCUCAGAUCGGUGCUAUCAUCAUUGCGGCGUGUAUCAACAUAAUCAAGUCAAGUCCAGUAGAUGGAUUUGUUUAGGCGUAAUUAAAGCGUGACCUCAGAAUUACUUUUCGGUAUUGGGUUUCUUACCUCUUCUGAAGCGAUAUUUUAAGUACUUUGAAAAAAAACAAACAUGAUUUUUGUGGUGGAGGGGUUCCCAGUAUUUUCUGCCCUGCAUCUUUAGAAAACAUUUUUAAUAGUAAUAUGUCAUUUGAAAAUGAGUAGGUUGUCAUGCAUCCUCAAAUAAUAUUGAGCAUCCAAUUAGGAGGCCUUGACUUGGAGCAUCUUCCAAGUGUAUGCACCAAAUAAAUGACUGAUAUAA